rnacentral:rRNA from 1 species
UGCGUAGGUGGCGGGGUAAGUCAGGUGUGAAAUUUCGGAGCUUAACUCCGAAACUGCAUUUGAUACUGCCUUGCUUGAGGACUGGAGAGGAGACUGGAAUUCACGGUGUAGCAGUGAAAUGCGUAGAUAUCGUGAGGAAGACCAGUGGCGAAGGCGGGUCUCUGGACAGUUCCUGACACUGAGGACGAAGGCCAGGGGAGCGAAACG